CUUCCUUCCCUCCCUCCCUCUGCAACUCGAAAUCUGGUCUUAGUCGUUCUCCAGCUGGGUCAUCUCCGUCGUCUAUUUCUUCUACCGCCGGGACCGGCCACGAUUCUUCCGAGCACAAACUGUUUCAUCACCUAACUGGUUGAAUGCUGUUUCAAUCUUGAUAGGAUAAAUAAUUAGCAAUGGGGGAAGAAGAGGAAGAGCUUGUGGCUGAUAAUAUUGUUGCAGAGUUAACUGGAGGUGGUACACCUGAGAAGAAGGGUGACGUGGAAGAUGCUAAAAAAUAUGAGAUAACUGUGGAGGACAGGAUGGAUAUUGAUGGGGUUGGUAUGGAGGGCUUGGAGACUAAAGAUGAUGUCAAAGGAAAUGAUGAAGAGAAAGAGACCAAAGGAGAAAAUAAGAUAGAAGAAAUAGACCCAAAGGAUGAAGACAAAAUACCUCAGACGGGGGUCAAAGAAGAGGACGGUAGUAAUGAAGAGGAAAAACAGAAAGAUGGUAGUGAAGAAGGUGUAGAAGAGGAGAAUGGUAGUAAUGAAGAGGAAAAACAGAAAUAUGGUAGUGAAGAAGGUGUAGAAGAGGAGAAUGGUAGUAAAGAAGAGGAAAACGAGAAAAUUGGUAGCGAAGAAGGUGAGAAAGAAGAGGACAAAGAAAAAAAUUGUAGAGAAGAAGGUGAAAAGGAGGAGAAUGAUAUUAAAGAAGAGAAAAUUGGUAGUGAAGAAGGUGAAAAUGAUGAGAAUGUUAGUAAAGAAGAGAAAGUUGGCUGUGAAGAAGGUGAAAAAGAGGAGAUCGAUAGUAAAGAAGAGGAAAAUGUGAAAAUUGGUAGCGAAGGUGAAAAAGAGGAGAACGACGGUAAAGAAGAGAAAGUUGGUAGUGUAGAUGAUGAAAAUGGGGAAAUCGAUAGUAAAUUAGAGGAAAAAGUGAAAAUUGGUAGUGAAGGUGAAAAAGAGGAGAAUGAUAGUAAAGAAAAUAAAAUUGGCAAUGAAGAAGGUGGGAAAGAGGUGAACGAUAUUAAAGAAGAAGAAAAGCAGGACAUUGGUAGCGAAAAAGAGAAAAUAGAGAAAAAUGGUAGUGAAGGAGAGGAAAACGCAGAGGAAACUCAAAUAGAUGUAAUGGAAGAAGAUACACAUAGUAAAGAAGAGGAAAUCAAAGAGGAAACUCAAAUAGAUGUAAUGGAAGAAGAUACACAUAGUAAAGAAGAGGAAAUCAAAGAAGAAACUCAAGUAGAUACAAUGGAAGAAGAUACAUUUACAAAAUCUGAGAAAGAGAGUAAGAAAAAUGUUGACCAGAAAGUAGGCAUAUUUACAGAAGGAGACAAUGACAAAGAACCAAAAGAAGUGGAAGAUAAAGAAGAAGAGAAAAAUGCUGAAGAAAUUAAAAAGAAUAAACAGUCGAGAAGUCUGGGGAAAGCAAAAGUGUCCAAGGAAAGGAGCGUUGACAACAGAAAGACAAAGUCUGGAAAAGAGAGCGAUGAAAAUGUUGAUCAGAAAGUAUACACAUCUAUGGAAGAAGACAAUGACAACGAACCAAAAGAAGAGGAAGAUAAAAAUGACGAAAUUAAAAAGAAAAAAGGUUCAAGAGGUCUGGGAAAAGCAAAAGUAUGUAAGGAAGUGUCUAAUGACAACAAAAAGACACCAGAAGAGAAGAAUGAGCCUAAAACACCUUUGGCUGGUAUCAAUGAACGCCCUGUACGUGAACGAAAAUCUGUAGAGAGGUUGGUUGCAUCCAUUGAGAAGGACUCCACCAGGGAAAUCAUAAUUCAAAAGGGUCGUGGUACUGCACUAAAAGACAUACCCAAUGUUGCGUACAAGUUGUCAAGAAAGAACGGUGAAGACACACUAAAAUUGCUCCAUACAGUUCUCUUUGGAAGAAGGGGAAAGGCUAUUCAGUUCAAAAGUAAUGUCUGCAGAUUUUCUGGCUUUGUCUGGAAAGAGAAUGAGGAAAAGCAAAAGUUGAAGUUGUUGGAAGAAAAAUUGGACAAGUGUGUUAAGGAGAAGUUGUUGGAACUCUGUGAUGUUCUUGACAUAUCCGUCAGCAGGGCUACAGCUAAAAAGGAAGACGUAGUGGUGAAGUUGAUCGAUUUUUUAAUGGCUCCUCAUGCUACAACUACUGAGCUACUUGUUGAGAAGGAGCAGUCAGGUAAGGGAAAAAAGCGCAAGAGGGGAGCCAAAGAGAGUGCUUCUUUUGAAAUCAGUCCUUCAAAACAUUCAGCAAAGAGCCGAAAAAAGACUGAGGAUGUAUCUGAGGAGAAAGAUAAUGAGAAUGACAAAGAUGAUGAAAUGGAUGAAGAGAAAGAGGUAGAUAAUGAAGAAGAAAAGGAGUUAGAUGAUGAUGAAGAAGAGGAAAAUGGGAAUGGUGUUGCUGAAAAGGCCAAACAUCAUGAAGUACUUGAAGAUUCCGAAAGUGAGGAAAGUGCAGAUGAGUCUGAAGAAGAGGAAUCUGAAGAAGAGGGGUCUGAAGAAGAACACACGCGCAAGCGUAAACGAGGUUCCAAGAAGUCCUUGGUUAAGAAAGGAUCUGAUUUGAAAACAAAAAGGAAGAAAGUAUCAACCCCUAAAAAACCCACCCCACCUGCGAAAAGAACAUCAGUGAAACCAUCUAAGGACAAGGGGAAUGAUAAGAGUGAUCCAAGCCCAAAGACAUUCGCAAGGAAGAAGAAACUGGAGGUAGUUAAGGAAACAUCCUCAACUCUGAAGAAGAAAGUGGAGGUAGUUAAGGAAACACACUCAACUCUGAAGAAGAAAGCUGCUUCCACAGAAAAACUUGGAGUAGGUAAGAAGAUGGUGAAAGGAAGAAGUAAACCCAAUGAGGAAAAACUGAGGCCAAGUGAUAAUGUGCUGAAAGAUGCAAUCUGUGAGAUUUUAAAGGAAGUCGACUUCACCACGGCUACCUUCACUGAUAUUCUCAAGCAACUAGCUGCAAGAUAUAGGACAGAUCUGACACCGAGAAAGGCACAAAUAAAGAUAAUGAUCCAGGACGAGCUGACUAAGCUUGCUGAUGAAGAGGAUGAGGAUGAUGAUGAAAGUGAUGCUGAGAAAGAAGAAAAUCAACCUUCUUCUGGCCAGGGUGUUAAGACCUGAAUUACUUACACACAGAUGGAAGAUCAACUAAGUUUGGCUAGGAUUGCAGUGAUGUCAUCAGAUGUGAGAAAAUUGACAAUUACAAAACUGAGGUCUUGCCAUAGGGUGGUGCUAGUUUAUUGUUGUUGAUUAGUUGUAAAAAUUGAUAUCUAAACAGAGUCUUUGUUGCAACUAUUAUUAUUACCCUUGUAGCAACAAGAACAUGUAAACAACAAGUAGUUGUAACCUGUAAUAAUUCAGUCAG